GGGAGUGUGCCCAACGAGUAUGCGGUGGUUACUGUGACCCCUAACUCUUGAUCUCGGUCAGGGGCAUGACAAUAAUAAUAGAGAUAUUGUCAUGCUCGAUAAUAGGCAUCAAGGGAGAUAUAGUUCUUUGAAUAAAGAUCAUUGCCAAUGGAUCGCAGCAGUUGUAUGGGCCAAGCAAAGAUACCCACUUUUCGUUGAUGAUCUGAAAACCAUAUUUUGCUUGUUUGUACACCAUGGAAUUGGAUUUGGUCCCAAGAAUGCAAAAAGUAAUUGUAGAAUGGUACUCAAUUAGAUAGCUAGCUCAAUCAGCAACACAAUAGGAAACA
rnacentral:lncRNA from 1 species